ACCCGCUGAACUUAAGCAUAUCAAUAAGCGGAGGAAAAGAAACCAACAGGGAUUGCCCUAGUAACGGCGAGUGAAGCGGCAACAGCUCAAAUUUGAAAUCUGGCUCUUUUAGAGUCCGAGUUGUAAUUUGCAGAGGGCGCUUUGGCUUUGGCAGCGGUCCAAGUUCCUUGGAACAGGACGUCACAGAGGGUGAGAAUCCCGUACGUGGUCGCUGGCUAUUGCCGUGUAAAGCCCCUUCGACGAGUCGAGUUGUUUGGGAAUGCAGCUCUAAAUGGGAGGUACAUUUCUUCUAAAGCUAAAUAUUGGCCAGAGACCGAUAGCGCACAAGUAGAGUGAUCGAAAGAUGAAAAGCACUUUGGAAAGAGAGUCAAACAGCACGUGAAAUUGUUGAAAGGGAAGCGCUUGCAGCCAGACUUGCUUACAGUUGCUCAUCCGGGCUUUUGCCCGGUGUACCCUUCUGUAGGCAGGCCAGCAUCAGUUUGGGCGGUAGGAUAAAGGUCUCUGUCACGUACCUCUCUUCGGGGAGGCCUUAUAGGGGAGACGACAUACUACCAGCCUGGACUGAGGUCCGCGCAUCUGCUAGGAUGCUGGCGUAAUGGCUGU
rnacentral:rRNA from 1 species